rnacentral:rRNA from 1 species
CGUACGACCCUCCGGGCCCUCCCGCGAGAAAUCAGGAGUAUUCGGUUCCGGGGGGAGUAUGGUCGCAAGGCCGAAAACUUAAGGAAUUGACGAAGGGCACCACCAGGAGUGGAAUCUGCGGCUUAAUUUGACCCAACGCGGGAAAACUCACCAGGUCAGGACACGGUAAGGAUUGACGGACUGAAGGCUCUUUCUCGAUUCCGUGGAAAGUGGUGCAUGGCCGUUUUUGGUUGGUGGAUCGAUCCGUCUGGUUAAUUCCGUUAACGAACGAGACCUCGGCACUCCGAAUAGCGCGGCGGACGUCGCGGCCUCCGGGCCGUCUUCCGCACGAGCUUCUUAGAGGGACCGUCCCCCGCCGGGGAAGGAGGUGCGAGGCAACGACAGGUCUGUGAUGCCCUUAGAUGUUCUGGGCCGCACGCGCAUUACACUGACGCGUCCAACGGGUGACUCCCGACCCGAAGGGGCCGGGGAAUCCGCAAGGCGCGUCGUGAUGGGGAUUGAACGUUGCAAUUGUUGUUCACGAACGAGGAAUUCCUAGUAGGCGCGGGUCAUCAACCCGCGCCGAUUACGUCCCUGC